GAUAGUCACCCCAUUUCAUUGAUUUUAAGAGGAGCGCUUUCUCCUGCUUCAGCCACUCUGAAAGCCCCAUGCCUGGUACUCACUGUCAGGGAGGCAGCGUCAACGCUCAGACAGCAGUGAUUCCUGGACUCAGCACAACCUGCAACAUGGGAGGUGACACCAACACAGAGAAAGAUCCAGGAAGCUCUUUGUUUCUGACUUGAAGAGUGAAUAAGUGCUCUCCUAAUGCUAGCAAAACGUGGGAAUAUUUUUCUCCAUUUUUUUCUCCAUUUCUCCAUUCUCUUGCAUCUCAGCUCCUAAGCAAUCCUUUGGUGGCAGAAGGCACAGUGGCAGCAAUGGGAGCCCAAAAACUGAGGGAAGAAGAAUUCCAAUCAGAAGAGCUGUGUCCAAGAAGAUGGAAAAGAGGCUGGGGAAAUUGGAGUGGAAGACAGAAAGACUGCAAUCUUGGGUGCCUCUCUAUGAUGUGAGGCUCUGAUGUCA